rnacentral:tRNA from 1 species
GCCUGGCUGGCUCAGUCGGCAGAGCGUGUGACUCUGGAUCUCAGGGUUGUGAGUUCGAGCUCCAUGUUGGGUG